rnacentral:rRNA from 1 species
UGGGUUUGACAUGUACGUAGUAGUGAACUGAAAAGGGAACGAUCCUUCGGGAAGCGUACACAGGUGCUGCAUGGCUGUCGUCAGCUCGUGUCGUGAGAUGUUGGGUUAAGUCCCGCAACGAGCGCAACCCUCGUCGUUAGUUACAAGUGUCUAGCGAGACUGCCGGUAUCAAGCCGGAGGAAGGUGGGGAUGACGUCAAGUCAGCAUGGCCUUUAUAUCCAGGGCUACACACACGCUACAAUGGCCGGUACAAUGGGCAGCGAAGCCGCGAGGCGGAGCGAAUCUCAUCAAAGCUGGUCGUAGUUCGGAUUGUAGGCUGCAACUCGCCUACAUGAAGC